UACGUAGGGGGCAAGCGUUGUCCGGAUUUAUUGGGCGUAAAGAGCGUGUAGGCGGCUAGGUAGGUCCGUUGUGAAAACUCGAGGCUCAACCUCGAGACGCCGAUGGAAACCAUCUAGCUAGAGUCCGGAAGAGGAGAGUGGAAUUCCUGGUGUAGCGGUGAAAUGCGCGGAUAUCAGGAAGAACACCCGUGGCUAAGGCGGCUCUCUAGUACGGUACUGACGCUGAGACGCGAAAGCGUGGGGAGCGAGCAGG
rnacentral:rRNA from 1 species